GUGCUUGCUUGAGGCAGCACAUGCACCAACACUGGAAUAAGACAGAGAAGACUAAUAUGGACCCUGUGUAAUAACACACAUAUUUGUGAAAUAUUCCAUACUUUU